GACGAACGCUGGCGGCGUGCUUAACACUUGCAAGUCGAACGGAAAGGCCCUGCUUUUGUGGGGUGCUCGAGUGGCGAACGGGUGAGUAACACGUGAGUAACCUGCCCUUGACUUUGGGAUAACUUCAGGAAACUGGGGCUAAUACCGGAUAGGAGCUCCUGCUGCAUGGUGGGGGUUGGAAAGUUUCGGCGGUUGGGGAUGGACUCGCGGCUUAUCAGCUUGUUGGUGGGGUAGUGGCUUACCAAGGCUUUGACGGGUAGCCGGCCUGGGAGGGGGACCGGCCACAUUGGGAACGGGAUUCGGCCCAGACUCCUACGGGAGGCAGCAGUGGGGAAUAUUGCACAAUGGGCGGAAGCCUGAUGCAGCAACGCCGCGUGCGGGAUGACGGCCUUCGGGUUGUAAACCGCUUUCGCCUGUGACGAAGCGUGAGUGACGGUAAUGGGUAAAGAAGCACCGGCUAACUACGUG
rnacentral:rRNA from 1 species